AAAAGUAUUAAUUGACCAACACUAACGCACCAGAUACCAUCAAAUCUCCAAAGUUAAGCGUGCUUGGGCGAGAGUAGUACUAGGAUAGGUGACUCCCUGGGAAGUCCUCGUGUUACAUCCC
rnacentral:rRNA from 1 species